GCCCAGAAAUCCCGGGACUAAACCCGGCAGCAGAAGCUUCUGAGGAGCUAGAACCCUAGAGCCGUUCUCAACUCCGCCUGCCCGGGACUGCCACCCCGCUAGCCCUACCGCCCCCAAGCAGAGUCGCAGGGCUCGCGCUGAUGCAAUGAACAUCAAACGCUCCCUCCCGAGCGUGCACUCGUUCCGGUUAACCGGCAUUUCGCGCCAUCAACACGUAGCUACGAGAAGGGGCCUGGAAGACAACUCUGCCUCUCCAGCUUACAGUGCAUGGCCAGUCUUGCUUCAUCUAUACCCCCCCGCCCCGCCAACUUCCUCUCAACAACCAGAUUUUUUUGGAGCACAUGCCAGAUGCCGUAUCAUUUCAUCUAGGAUUCCUUUAGCGUCCAUGUGUUCUUCCAUCAGGAAGUGAAUAUGUCUGCUUCUGUAUCUUUCUCUGAUGUCACCAACCGUUGACGACCAGCGCUAAACUAUUUUGAGUUCCAGUAGCCAAAAGUGACUGUAUUUCUGUCCAGAUGGUUUGAUCUCUUUGGGAGAAAAAGAAGUCAGCUCUGUCCUAUUGGCUCUCCCCUCCAAGGGUGUGUUGUCUCUCCAAUUAGACUGGAAGCUCCCUGAGAGCCAGAGUGACUGCUGCUCCCUUUAACAGCCACCGCACCUGGUCACGCAAAAUGGCCGCGACCGUGAAAACGCACGGGGCAAAAGAGAAUCGGAAUAAAUGGCAACUGUUUUCUCCAGAGUGUAUUAACAUGCUUCCAGACAACAGCAUCUUUAUUCCUUCAAUAAAUGCUGAUCGAACAUUGAUCGAGGCCCUGCCCAGGCUCUAUCCAGGCCGAUUCUUGCACCCCCACGUCCUCCAAACUGGUCUCCACUGGAACCAGCCAGCUCACACACACCCCCACCCCAGAUUACCCACAGCUUCCCUGUUUUUCCA